rnacentral:lncRNA from 1 species
GGCCUCCCGAGUAGCUGGGAUUACAGGCGCCCACCACCACUCCCGGCUAAUUCCACAAAAGAAUAUUACAUGUGAUUUAAAGGCCAUUGUACAGCUAUUUGCUGGCUCCGAAGGACCCUCACCAGAUAUCAAAUCUGUUGGCACCUUGAUCUUGGACUUCCUGGUCUCCAGAACUAUGAGAAAUACAUUUCUGUUUUUUAUAAAUUACUAAUUCUAAGGGAUUUUGUUAUAGCAGCUCAAAUGGACUAAGACAAUUAGUCUAAAAUCUAAGCAUAUUUUACUUGACUAAACACUAUAAAUUUUAUUGAAAAACAUUAUUGUAAUUUAACUGUGGAUUUGAACAUUUUAAAAUAAAAAUAAGCAUGUUUAUGUUUGAUGUUGAAAUUCUCUGUUUCUGAAGUAGCGAAUGUU